AUGAACGCUAGCUACAGGCUUAACACAUGCAAGUCGAGGGGCAGCAUGAUUGAAGCUUGCUUCAAUCGAUGGCGACCGGCGCACGGGUGAGUAACACGUAUCCAACCUGCCGAUAACUCGGGGAUAGCCUUUCGAAAGAAAGAUUAAUACCCGAUAGUAUAGUAUUUCCGCAUGGUUUCACUAUUAAAGAAUUUCGGUUAUCGAUGGGGAUGCGUUCCAUUAGAUAGUUGGCGGGGUAACGGCCCACCAAGUCAACGAUGGAUAGGGGUUCUGAGAGGAAGGUCCCCCACAUUGGAACUGAGACACGGUCCAAACUCCUACGGGAGGCAGCAGUGAGGAAUAUUGGUCAAUGGACGAGAGUCUGAACCAGCCAAGUAGCGUGAAGGAUGACUGCCCUAUGGGUUGUAAACUUCUUUUAUACGGGAAUAAAGUGGAGUAUGCAUACUCCUUUGUAUGUACCGUAUGAAUAAGGAUCGGCUAACUCCGUGCCAGCAGCCGCGGUAAUACGGAGGAUCCGAGCGUUAUCCGGAUUUAUUGGGUUUAAAGGGAGCGUAGGCGGGUGCUUAAGUCAGUUGUGAAAGUUUGCGGCUCAACCGUAAAAUUGCAGUUGAUACUGGGUACCUUGAGUGCAGCAUAGGUAGGCGGAAUUCGUGGUGUAGCGGUGAAAUGCUUAGAUAUCACGAAGAACUCCGAUUGCGAAGGCAGCUUACUGGACUGUAACUGACGCUGAUGCUCGAAAGUGUGGGUAUCAAACAGGAUUAGAUACCCUGGUAGUCCACACAGUAAACGAUGAAUACUCGCUGUUGGCGAUACACAGUCAGCGGCCAAGCGAAAGCAUUAAGUAUUCCACCUGGGGAGUACGCCGGCAACGGUGAAACUCAAAGGAAUUGACGGGGGCCCGCACAAGCGGUGGAGUAUGUGGUUUAAUUCGACGCAACGCGAAGAACCUUACCAAGUCUUGACAUCCCUUGACGAACAUAGAAAUAUGUUUUCUCUUCGGAGCAAGGAGACAGGUGGUGCAUGGUUGUCGUCAGCUCGUGCCGUGAGGUGUCGGCUUAAGUGCCAUAACGAGCGCAACCCUUAUCUAUAGUUACUAUCAGGUCAUGCUGAGGACUCUAUGGAGACUGCCGUCGUAAGAUGUGAGGAAGGUGGGGAUGACGUCAAAUCAGCACGGCCCUUACGUCCGGGGCUACACACGUGUUACAAUGGGGGGUACAGAAGGCAGCUACCUGGCGACAGGAUGCUAAUCCCUAAAACCUCUCUCAGUUCGGAUUGGAGUCUGCAACCCGACUCCAUGAAGCUGGAUUCGCUAGUAAUCGCGCAUCAGCCACGGCGCGGUGAAUACGUUCCCGGGCCUUGUACACACCGCCCGUCAAGCCAUGAAAGCCGGGGGUACCUGAAGUACGUAACCGCAAGGAGCGUCCUAGGGUAAAACUGGUGAUUGGGGCU
rnacentral:rRNA from 1 species